UACGUAGGGUGCAAGCGUUGUCCGGAAUUAUUGGGCGUAAAGAGCUCGUAGGCGGUUCGUCGCGUCGGCUGUGAAAACCCGGAGCUCAACUCCGGGCCUGCAGUCGAUACGGGCGGACUAGAGUUCGGCAGGGGAGACUGGAAUUCCUGGUGUAGCGGUGAAAUGCGCAGAUAUCAGGAGGAACACCGGUGGCGAAGGCGGGUCUCUGGGCCGAUACUGACGCUGAGGCGCGAAAGCCAGGGGAGCAAACGGG
rnacentral:rRNA from 1 species